ACGGAGGGUGCGAGCGUUAUUCGGAAUUACUGGGCGUAAAGCGCGUGCAGGCGGUGAGGCAAGUCUGGUGUGAAAGCCCCGGGCUUAAACCGGGAAGUGCAUUUGAAACUGGAUUUCUUGAGUACUGGAGAGGAAGGGGGAAUUCCCGGUGUAGAGGUGAAAUGCGUAGAGAUCUGGAGGAAUACCGGUGGCGAAGGCGGCCUUCUGGACGGUUACUGACGCUGAGACGCGAAAGCGUGGGGAGCAAACAG
rnacentral:rRNA from 1 species